GGGGUGAUAGCUCAGUUGGGAGAGCGCACGACUGAAGUUACUCGGUCAUUUCAAAGCCAGGAUUCUGGCAAUCGUGAGGUCACCGGUUCAAUCCCGGUUCAUCCCA
rnacentral:tRNA from 1 species